rnacentral:lncRNA from 1 species
GAUCACCAUCUCAUCUGCGAGGUACAAGUAGAUCGUACUCACCGUCUGCAUUUGGAGCUACCUCCAAUCCUCUACUUCCAUGGUAGUCAGCUUCUCAUCGCACAAGAGAGUAUCGAUCAAUCUUUGCUAGAUGAGCAUGUCUUUCUCCCUCGUCUGUCACAAAAAAAAAUUACUCUUUUCAUCAAAUCUAUUGAUUUUCAUCUUGAUUGUGCUUGUCUUCUCUAUCUUCUAUC